rnacentral:tRNA from 1 species
GGGAAUGUAAUUCAGUGGUAGAAUGCUUGCCUAACAUGCACAAAGCUCUGGGUUCCAUCCCCAGCACUACAA